rnacentral:rRNA from 1 species
GCGGUAAUACGUAGGGGGCGAGCGUUGUCCGGAAUUAUUGGGCGUAAAGCGCGCGCAGGCGGUCUCUUAAGUCUGAUGUGAAAGCCCACGGCUCAACCGUGGAGGGUCAUUGGAAACUGGGGGACUUGAGGGCAGGAGAGGAGAGCGGAAUUCCACGUGUAGCGGUGAAAUGCGUAGAGAUGUGGAGGAACACCAGUGGCGAAGGCGGCUCUCUGGCCUGUACCUGACGCUGAGGCGCGAAAGCGUGGGGAGCAAACAGGAUUAGAUACCCUGGUAGUCCACGCCGUAAACGAUGAGUGCUAAGUGUUAGAGGGGUCACACCCUUUAGUGCUGCAGCUAACGCGAUAAGCACUCCGCCUGGGGAGUACGGCCGCAAGGCUGAAACUCAAAGGAAUUGACGGGGGCCCGCACAAGCGGUGGAGCAUGUGGUUUAAUUCGAAG